GGAUGUGAGGGCAAUGUGGCUGAGACAUCUGUCACCCCAUUGAUCUCCAGGGUUGAUCCGGCUGGUUAGGCUGGUGUCCCCUUCCCCUUCCUCCCUCACCACUCCAGAAGCUGUGCCCUAAAUAGAGAUGGACCAGUCUUCAGUCAAGGGUAUAGGAGUAGCUGCACUCCCCUACUAGAACCUCCAAACAAGGUCUCAAGAAUAGACUUUAAUUUUUAAUUUUUAAUUAUUUUUUGAUAGAGACAGAGAAAUAAUU
rnacentral:snRNA from 1 species